GUAUUGGAAUGAGUAUAAUCAGACAAGACAACGUAGAAUGGAGGAUCUAAUUGGAUAUCAAAUUCCUGGCAGAUUAAGUCCAACAUCUUUAAAGCCAAAAUCAGAAGUCAAUGUUGAUAGGAAUGAUUAUCAAAAGAUGACUAAUUUUUCUAAUUAUUCAACUAAACUUAAUGUUGAUGUAUCAGAUGUUUCGAAGAAUUUGGCUUGUACGACUAGGCAGAACAGAAUUUCAGAGGGAUUAUCAAUCCAAAGGAGUAGAAACUUGAAAAAUUCUUUAAUAGACGCAAAGACUCAAAAAAACGGUUGGGACUCACGAUUAUCAGACAUACCAUCUCAGGAUCCAAGUUCCAAUGACAAUUUGAAGGAUAGUUUAUCUUUAAAAUCUUCUUUACAUUCUACCGCUGAGGAAAAUAUAUCUAUCAAAAAUAAGAAUCUUGAAUCGCAUGAUAUAAGGCGAGGUGAACCGGAAAAAAAUGUAGAAAUGAACGUAGAGGAUGAGAAGAUCGUCGAUUCACUGAAAGUGAAUGUAAUUGAUAGUAAAACAAACAGUAAGACGCAGAAUCAAAUCGCAGCGUCUAAUGAAUUAUGUCUGGAAAAAAAGUUCUCUUUGACAGCAGAAAGUUGCUUCGAUACGUUGCUAACCAGUUUAAGAGCCAAAAUGAACACCCUAAAUGCAGAGACGCAUUUAAAUGGUAUAAAAAUGUCGACAUCAGUAAUAACAGAGAAAGUAAAGAGGUCUUUGAGUUCUAUGACUGAUCCCAAUGUAGAUAAUAUUAACUGUACAUUAGAAAAGUAUAGUAAAACUGUGAAGGAAUGUAAAACAAACUGUGAGGAUAUAAGGCCAUCAUUUUCAGAGAGAAUUCAGGAUAUAUGGCAUGACAGUAGUAAAGUCUCAUGGAAUUCAUUUUACAAGGAAGAGCCAUUAAAGCUAAUUUCUAACGAAAGAAAAGAACCAGCUAAAAUGUCUAUAUUUGGAUUAAAAAAACAAAGUAGCUUAGGUCGGUCAAUUGGAGAAUAUGGUACUGCUAUAAAACUAGCUAAUAUUUUAGAGGCAAUGACUGAAUUAAAGGCUGGAAAAAGUGCGUCACAAAUAUCCAGAACAUUAGAAGAGCCACAAUGGUUGUUACCUGAUGAAAUCAAAUCCAAAAUACAUGUUGGAAUACAAUACUCUUCCAGUGCUUUAGCGAUAGAGGAUGAAAGAUCUUACAGGAAUGAGAAGUCUAAAAGAUAUGAAAUAUUUGAUAACAAACUGGUGAAUCUUUCUCAUGAAACGCCCAGAUCACUACAAAUCUUUACAGAACACAGUAUUUUACCAGUGUCAACAGUACAAAUAAAACCUUUAACUCACCAAAUUCAAAGUUUUGCUCAGUAUCAUCAAUUAUUUCCACACACGUUGGAAAGCUCUAUGCUCUCUUCUGAUUGCAGCGAUCUUUCCAAAGAACACUCUAUCACAAUGAAAAGUCCUGUUAUGCAAGAUGCUACUGAUGUGGCAAUACCUGAUUAUAAAUUGAAGAAGUAUGAAUGGUUAUCACAGAAUAUAAAAGUACCACCAUCAGGUAACUGCCAGAUGCUUGUACAAGAAAAUAUAUCGACUAGGAUUCGUUCUUGGUUAUUCAAAAAAUUUCAUCAGAAGAGGAGCAAUGCUAAUCUUCCAGUUGCUCAACGAUUCAAACGAAUAAGACCUCAUGUGAUCAAUAGAAAAGUCUCCAACUUAUUGAAGCACAUUAAACGAAAAGGAAAACUUCGGAAUGAAUUGAAGGAAACUCACAUUUUUGAAAAAUUUCCAAAAAGGAUGCCAAUACCUCCAGUUAGGAAAAGGCGAAAACGUUUUAAUACUUUAAAUAAGCAAAGUGUUGAUGCUGUACUAAAGAACGUUAUACUUCCCAACAGUAUCGACAAUAUAAAAUCUAUUAAUAAAGAAUGUGCCACUAUGAAUUCAACCUCAACAAACAAUAUUAAUAACGAGAGUAACUUAGCUAAAAAUAUCACAGAAGAAACUCAUGUCAGUUCCAGUCCUAUUAAUGUUACAUCUAAUAAAUUAUCUAUCAAAGAAUCAGUCAUGAACUCAAGUUCUCAAAAAAAUAUAAUGGAUCAAGUAAAAUGCAUUAAAGAAACUGACUUAUCAAAUAAUCAGAACACAGUACCAAUACAAUUGAAUGUUAAGGAUUCUUUCUCGUUACCUGACAAAAGUUAUCUUAAAUUUGAGACUGAAGUAACUGAAAAAAUGUCAUUCAUGAACACAAUGGAUGAUCUGAGGACUUCUAAAUUAGAAAUGAGACAAGAUAUAGAUAAAAUAAAUUCUAGUUCAAGGAUAACUAAUAGUUCACCUAGGAUUGCUGAUUCAUAUAAGAUUAUCAAGGUCCCAUUGAACAAUUCUACAACUGAUACAAAUAUAAACUGUACAAUAUCAGGAUUAGAUAAUAAAAGAGCUUCCUUGGACAAAAAAGAAUUUUACCGUAAAAAAUAUCAGUUUUUAUCAAAGCAAAUAAUAAAGAAAAAGGAGUUAUACUUGAAACCACCGGAAGUGGUAAACGUAGAGAGCAAGAUAUUGGUCGAAAAAAAGGAAAGGAAUAUAAAUAGCAUAAUACAGGAUAACGUAAAUCACAAAAGUGGUAAAGAACAGUCUUCGUUUAAAUACAAAAAUGAUCAAAACUCUUAUAAAAGGACAAACAAUGUAAAGUCUAAGUGCAUUAUUCAAUCACUCAGUCUAAUAAACGAGGUAGAACCGCUCAACGAAAAAAUUGUUUCGUCUUUAAAUUCUAAUUCAAGAAUAUCUACAGAUAAUGUUACAUCCUUGAAUAAAUCAUAUAGAUCGGAAGUAACAAAAGUGCAUUUAAUCUCCUGCGGAAAUGAGGUAAAAGAUACACCACCGGAAAUGAAUAAAAAUUUAAUACCCAUCAAAGAAUACAAGAUGGAGGAUCAGAGUACGCAAUCUUAUGUCUCUUAUAAUAAUAAGAAAAGAAAUUUGCAAGCAAAAAGAUCUUUGAGUAAAGUUGAAGUUAAAAUACCGAUAACUUCAAUAAAAAGUCAAGAUAAAGAUUUAUCGUACGGUAGCAGCAAAGUCGCCAAUAAUUUUGUGCAGCCAUGCUUAGACAAUAAAAACGAAUCACAAAGAAUUACGACCACUGAUCCGUGUUCAAUUUCCCAAGAAAUUUCACAAAAUAAACAAACAGAAAAAGCUUUCGCAUCAAACGAUUCACGGUCACCAGUUGCAUCCAAUAGUAUCGCGACAAGAGUGAAUAGACGUAAUUUAAAUGAGAAUAAAUUGAUGUAUUUGUCUCGUAUAAAGAAAAAAUUGGAAGAGAGUAGAAACACGAAACUUUCAAUCACCAAGGAGAUCAAGGCUGAAUCAGAUGUAGUUUUACAGAUGAGUAAUGACAAUUGUACUACUACAGAGAAACGAAACAAAUCUAUUGGUUACGCUCUCUUAGAGGAAGGUCUCUGUGUUCCGGAGAAUUCCGGAUUUCUUGGCUCAACGAAAGGCAACAUUAAAACUUCGAAAACACGCUCACAGUAUAAAGCAACAAAAAUUCUGGAACGUUUAAUGCAAGUUAGUGAAAAAGUCGAAAGCACAAUGGUCAAGAAUUUAAGCAGCGAAAAAAUAGAAAGUACAAAGUCAAAAGAAAAAUCAAAAUCGCGUUAUGCACGAAGUGUCCUUUAUUCUUCUGGGAGUUUAAAAAAAAUACCACUCGAUGAUUUAGCAAGGAAAACCAUAAUGAAGUGUUCAAAUACGAAUCGGGAAAUGUUAAACGAUAUAACACUUUCUGUAAAGUAAUCAAAGUCAGAGGAAACUGGGUUUCUACUAGUUCAAGACCAAGCGCAGCUUUGAGCAAGGACUGUUAAAUUGUAAAAGAAUCGUUUAACCAGGAUGUGUCCACGUGGCUUACGCAAUGAAUGACACUGAACAGUUUGCAUAUCAUUACGUAAUAACGCGAAUCAUUAUCACGUGUCUGAAUUUUACCAUCCGUAUUUUAACAAGAGAAUUUCCAAAUAUUCAUGCUUGGAUUGAUCAAUGAUAGUACGUCUGUAAUAAAUCAUACGUUUCACAGUCUGGUGAUCCAACUGUCUCUCGUUUUACUAUGAUAAAACCUUGUUUAACAUUAAAAAUUCAAUUAGGUAGAGUAAUUCUAUAUGGUACAUUAGAUUCGUCAUGUGCAAUCAGCUGCAAGUGUAACUAAUUGUACUUAUUUCAAUUUAUGGGUUUGUCCUUGGUAGCCUGCUGCUAAUUAUUUCCGUAAUAUAAUUGUGACACUAUAUAUUUUUUUAAAAAUGAAAUCGUACGAAUAAGCCAGUUAGGUUUCCUCGAGUCUGAAAAAAAUCUAAGUAUCUCAUCGCGUUCAAACUUCAUUAUGAAUGAGUAAAAGUUUCUAGAAGUAGACCCGAGGUAGAAGAGGUCAGUGAAAUAUAUGUCAAGAAAAACCUAUGCUCCGUUCACACCGCAAUAUAACAAAAAUCAGGCCAGUGAACCAAGUACGUGUAGUAAAAUAAAUUGAAAUGCUCAAUAUCAGGAAAUAGAAUGCUAGUUUACAGAAUGAUUCACAUUUAAUUAAAUUACCAGCAUUCAACUGGCUUAGUUCUGUUCGUUCUAUAUGCAUUAUACAUAAAACCUAAGUCCAAGUAAUCUAGGCAACAGAUAGGCAAGAAGAAAAAUUCCAAAGUCAGUUAUAUCCUAACUUAUUUUUGAUAAUCCGAGCAAAUUGUACAAAGUUCGAUUUUGCAUCUUUGAUAUUGAAAUUCCUAUCAGCUGGCCAGCUGACUAAUCUGUGACUAUCCAAUCCCAGUUGUUCGAGUGGUGUUCGUCGACGUCGACGGAACCUCGACUGGGAGUUUUGAGUGCGUGGGGCUAAACACGACAGAACACGACGGAACACGACGAGCCGAUUGCCAGUAUCGAUGCUCUAUCAGGCAUUCUGCGUGUUGUAUCAGGGAAUCUGCCUGCUCGGCCUGCUCAUAUAUCUCGUGCUUGUUCAGCACAAUCCGUGAAGGUUCAGUGUACCACGAUUUUCAUCGAUUCCUGUCACGUAUUUAUUGAUAAGGAAUUACCUAUUGUUGAAUCUUCUUUUGUGGGAUUGAUUACAACGCCGGCGAUUCUCAUCUUUAAAUUUGGUG